rnacentral:sRNA from 1 species
UAUUACCUCCGAACCCAUUUUUCGAAAUUUCUAAUAAUAUUAAAAAACUUAGGCCCUGAACGGGAUUAUAUGGGGAUAAUAUAAAUUAAACCGCAAAAGGUAUUUUUAAUUACCAAUGGGUAUUUUAUUCCGUUAUAUCCCUCGGGGUAAUGCAUAUAAUCCCAAAAUAUCUCCCAAAAUGGUCGAUAGGGGCGAUUUUCUGGGGUUCGCCGCGAAAUUACUUUUUUUGCGUAUAUUUGUGCGCAAUUUUUAUAGGUUAUACGGGUAUCGCCCAUAAUUUUUACACCCUUUACGUUUUGCAUUAACCUUUCCAACGUUUGCUGUCCCAAAUAACCAGUUCGUAAGUACCAGGUGCGCGUUAUUUCAGUUUUUGGCUCAGGGGUUUGUAAUAUUAAUUGGAAACCUCCUUUUUACCGCCUUAUUAUAUUAUAUAUAAUCGUUAUAACGAUAAUUCCCGCCUUAAAAAAUGGGAUUGAAACUGGAAAAGUAAAAAAGCUGUACGGUGUUGGCUUAUAUUCGAGGAACGGUAGGUUUUUUUAUUUUUCCAGCCGUAAAAUUAACGUAUUCGCGUGGAUUGGCCCGUAUUUUAAAAAAAAGUCCUGACCACAAAACCAUAGUCCGUAUUUGCUAAUUAGGGCCUCGGAUAUAAUAUUAACGUGGAAUCCUGGAAUUAAUACGACCUUUUCCAAAAUUAGAUCCCUGCCAUUUAAUAGGUUAUUAAAAGUUUUGCGGCCAUAUCUUUGGAUUUGCAGCGUGGAAAUACCGGUUGCGACGGAAUUGUUAAUAUUUGUUGGGUAAAACGUCCCUUCGUCGAUUAAUAAUAUUAAAUUAAUAACGUAUAUUGCGCUCCCGCUGUUAAUAAUCGUAUUUUCGGCGAAAGGGUGGGUAUUUCCUCCAAUUGCAAAUAUACCGAUUAGCAUUUCCGGUACUUCAAUUAUAUUCUGCGGUAUAACGGUAUAACCUAUAAAUUUGUUGGGGAUCUGUUCAGGGUUUUCCUAUAUCCCUAAAUUUUUUUUUACAAAUUGAAAAUCCCCGUUGGAAUCCUUUGUAAAAAGGUUUCUGCGUACCAAAUCUUAUCGAAAUUGCUUAUAGUCCUUGGAUUUAAAUAAUUUUUGUAAAAUGGUAUUUUUUUCGUCGGGAUUUAUAUUAAAUUCCUUCGACCCUUUUAAUUUUUUCGUACCGGUUAAGACCCAAUGGAAUUUGUCGCAAUUUUUGGGUUCCCAUCGAUGUUUUUUACCGUCGGCAUUUUUAUAUGGAUAUUGGUAUCCUUAUAAUAAUUUGCUUUGGUUUGAAUUACCUUCGCUAAAAUUCCUUUGCGAACCAUUUCCUCCUAUUAUUAUAAUAAUUGGGAUUGGUUUUGGGUUUGGUCGGCUGAAUUUUUUUAAUUGUACGUGUGCUCCGAAAAUCCUUAAAUAUUCCUUAACGUCCAUAAGCGGUUUUCCCAUAAUUAUUGCCUUAUUUAUUUUGUAAAAUUGGUAAAUCCCCCAGGAAACGGACAUUUGCGCCGCGAUUGCUAAUAAUAAGUCGGUAACCCUUAUAAUACCCUGGAUUUCCGGGAUAUUAUAUAUUUUGGCAAAUAUAAGUUUUGUUUGCAUAUUUUGUAUCCAGGUUUCCGGGUUUGUACCUCUUUGUUUGGUUUUGUUAAACUGGUUCCGGUAUUUACGGCGUAUUUUGUCUAUUUCCGUAUUUUCCAGGGGAUUAAUUAAGAAUCGAAGAAUGCGGAGGAAAAACUGGGUAUUCGCCGUUUAUUUUUGCUGUGUUAUAACAUUCGCCCGCUUUAUAAAAUUUGCAUCUGUUAAUUUAUUAAUUAUGGAAAAAACGUCGAUAUAAUAUUUAAUUACGUCGGGAAUAAAUAAAGCGAGGGCCACGUUAUCGUACCAUUUUCCGAACUUUUGGUAUAUUGUUAAUUCUUCGUCGAAUUCGCUGUUGGCAUCCAGAUUUAGGCGUUUUUUCCAUAUUGCCUUUUUUGUUGCAGGGGUUCUGGAAAAAGGGUUUUUGGUGGCCUUAAUAUAAAUGGGGUUGGGUGCAUUUUCGGCUAAAAAAUUAAUCAAAACCCAAAUGUAGCGUUUCCUAACUGCGGUUUUAAUGGAUAAAUACCAUUCCGGCCAUUUUUUCGCUGUGCGCAAAAUAAUAGUGGCAAAUUUAAUCUUUUUUUCGGAAAGGUAAAACAUUAUAAAUAAAUUUGUGGUUUGCGAAUAUAUGGUAGGGAAAAGCGUUUAAUAGUAAAUGUUAAAGGAAUAUAGUGCGUAAAUAGGUUAUAUAAUUUGUAAAUAAGGUGAACGAUUUAUAAAACCUUUGGAUUAAACGUUUUCCGGGCUUAUAAUUGUUGUAAACGUUGUUUUUUAUUAAAUUUAUUUAAACGAAUGUAUUUAUUUGGUUAGGUUUAUAUAAUCGAACAGAUUUUGGUACAAUACCAGUUUAAUUCUAGGAAAAUAAAGUAAAAAAAUGUCGUGCGCGUUACAAAAUUGUGUUUAAGUAAGGAAACGCGUUAGGUUGAGUAAAUAAAUGUUA